ACCCUUCACUCAAUCUGGGAUAGUGUUUGGGUGGAUCAGCUAUACUCUCUGCAGGACAGCUUAAUUACUUAAAGCUGUACUUAGGACCCUGUUCCAGGGCGGGAAUCGAUGGAGACAACCGAUCCAAGCUGCGGCAGCUAGGUGCUGAAGCACUCCUGUGUCCCAGAGGAGAGCUAGGAACAAGCUUGGUGAUACCCAGUCGGGGUGCCAGGCGGUCCGUCACACUAAAUAUCUGUGAUUUUUGUACUAGAUGUAGCUUAUUAUUCUGCAAUACUGCAUGAUGACAUUGUUAAAUAUGACCGAUACUGUUUGAUUUGGAA